rnacentral:rRNA from 1 species
UGUACACGCUGUGACUAGCUAUCAAUAAGCGGAGGAAAAGAAACUAACAAGGAUUCCCCUAGUAACGGCGAGUGAAGCGGGAAGAGCUCAAAUUUGAAAUCUUAAAGGGUUUCCCUUUACGAAUUGUAGUUUAAAGAAGUGUUUUCUGUUGAGGUUUUGGUAAAAGUUCUUUGGAAUAGGACAUCAUAGAGGGUGAGAAUCCCGUAUUUGACCUUUACUUUCAACUUUGUGAUACACUUUCAAAGAGUCGGAUUGUUUGGGAAUGCAGUCCAAAAUGGGUGGUAAAUUUCAUCUAAAGCUAAAUAUUGGCGAGAGACCGAUAGCGAACAAGUACCGUGAGGGAAAGAUGAAAAGAACUUUGAAAAGAGAGUUAAACAGUACGUGAAAUUGUCAAAAGGGAAGCGUUUGACACCAGUGUUGUUUUUCUGAAAAUCAAUUAAAGAACUGUUUAUGCUAAGCUGUUUAGACUUUAUCAGCUAUCUGUUUAGUUUUGAGCUUUUCUUUAAUGCACUUUUCAGUUAACAAGUCAACAUCAAUUUCUUUUGCUGUAAAAAAGCUUGAGGAAGGUGGCUUGAGAUUCGUCUUAAGUGUUUAUAGCCUCUCGCCUAUGCAGUCGGAGAGAUUGAGGUCUGCAGCGUAGAUCCUUCGGGGCUAAAUGCAUUUGUGCUAAGUUAUAGCAUUUUAUAGACAACUUGUUGACUAUGAUUUGUCUUGUAGCUUACUCGCUUAUGUUAUUUUACCUACGCUUAGGAUGUUGAGUCGUAGAGCACGCAG